rnacentral:rRNA from 1 species
UUGUUCGGAUUUACUGGGCGUAAAGGGCGCGUAGGCGGCGCGGUAAGUCACUUGUGAAAUCUCUGAGCUUAACUCAGAACGGCCAAGUGAUACUGCAGUGCUAGAGUGCAGAAAGGGCAAUCGGAAUUCUUGGUGUAGCGGUGAAAUGCGUAGAUAUCAAGAGGAACACCUGAGGCGAAGGCGGGUUGCUAGGCUGACACUGACGCUGAGGCGCGAAAGCCAGGGGAGCAAACGGG